rnacentral:rRNA from 1 species
CCAGACUCCUACGGGAGGCAGCAGUGGGGGAUAUUGCACAAUGGGGGGAACCCUGAUGCAGCGACGCCGCGUGGGUGAAGGAGUAUUUCGGUAUGUAAAGCCCUAUCGGCAGGGAAGAAGAAAGACGGUACCUGAGUAAGAAGCCCCGGCUAACUACGUGCCAGCAGCCGCGGUAAUACGUAGGGGGCAAGCGUUAUCUGGAUUUACUGGGUGUAAAGGGAGCGUAGACGGCGAAGAAAGUCUGAAGUGAAAGCCCGCGGCUUAACCGCGGAACUGCUUUGGAAACUUUUUUGCUGGAGUACCGGAGAGGUAAGCGGAAUUCCUAGUGUAGCGGUGAAAUGCGUAGAUAUUAGGAGGAACACCAGUGGCGAAGGCGGCCUACUGGACGGUGACUGACGCUGAGGCUCGAAAGCGUGGGGAGCAAACAGGAUUAGAUACCCUCGUAAG